rnacentral:rRNA from 1 species
UACGUAGGGGGCUAGCGUUGUCCGGAAUCAUUGGGCGUAAAGCGCGUGUAGGCGGUCCGGUAAGUCCGCUGUGAAAGUCGGGGGGCUCAACCCUCGGAUGCCGGUGGAUACUGUCGGGCUUGAGUACGGAAGAGGCGAGUGGAAUUCCUGGUGUAGCGGUGAAAUGCGCAGAUAUCAGGAAGAACACCAAUGGCGAAAGCAGCUCUC